rnacentral:rRNA from 1 species
GACGGAGGGGGCUAGCGUUAAUCGGAAUUACUGGGCGUAAAGCGUGCGCAGGCGGUCUGCUAAGACAGGUGUGAAAUCCCCGGGCUUAACCUGGGAACUGCGCUUGUUACUGGCAGGCUGGAGUGUGGGAGAGGGGGGUGGAAUUCCACGUGUAGCAGUGAAAUGCGUAGAGAUGUGGAGGAACACCGAUGGCGAAGGCAGCCCCCUGGGCUAACACUGACGCUCAUGCACGAAAGCGUGGGGAGCAAACAGG